UACGGGGGGAGCAAGCGUUGUUCGGAUUUACUGGGCGUAAAGGGCGCGUAGGCGGCGUGACAAGUCACUUGUGAAAUCUCCGGGCUUAACUCGGAGCGGCCAAGUGAUACUGUCGUGCUAGAGUGCGGAAGGGGCUACUGGAAUUCUCGGUGUAGCGGUGAAAUGCGUAGAUAUCGAGAGGAACACCUGCGGCGAAGGCGGGUAGCUGGGCCGACACUGACGCUGAGGCACGAAAGCGUGGGUAGCAAACAGG
rnacentral:rRNA from 1 species